AAGUCGUAACAAGGUUUCCGUAGGUGAACCUGCGGAAGGAUCAUUACUGAAUUGUCAACACGAGUUGUUGCUGGUCCUCAAAUGGGGGCAUGUGCACGCUCUGUUCACACAUCCACUCACACCUGUGCACCCUCUGUAGUUCUGUGGCUUGGGGGGCUCUGUCCUCCUGCUGUGGUUCUAUAUCUUUACACACACUCUGUAAUAAAGUCUCAUGGAAUGUAUGCCGCGUUUAACGCAAUAUAAUACAACUUUCAGCAACGGAUCUCUUGGCUCUC
rnacentral:misc_RNA from 1 species